UACGGGGGGUGCGAGCGUUGUCCGGAAUCACUGGGCGUAAAGGGCGCGUAGGUGGCCUGAUAAGGGUGUGGUGAAAGUCCGGGGCUCAACCCCGGAUCUGCCGUGCCGACUGUUGGGCUGGAGUACUGUAGGGGCAGGCGGAAUUCCGGGUGUAGCGGUGGAAUGCGCAGAUAUCAGGAGGAACACCGAUGGCGAAGGCAGGUCUCUGGGCUGUAACUGACGCUGAGGAGCGAAAGCAUGGGGAGCGAACAGG
rnacentral:rRNA from 1 species